rnacentral:ncRNA from 1 species
CAAAAGUUUGGUCCUGACUUUACUAUCAACUUUAGCUGAACUUACACAUGCAAGUAUCUGCACCCCCGUGAGAAUGCCCUAUAGCUUCCCCCGAGAAACAUAGGAGCUGGUAUCAGGCUCAAACAUUAGCCCACGACACCUUGCUUAGCCACACCCCUAAGGGAACUCAGCAGUGAUAAACAUUAGGCAAUAAGUGAAAACUUGACUUAAUUAAGGCUAAACAGAACCGGUUAAACUCGUGCCAGCCACCGCGGUUAUACGAGUGGUUCAAGCUGAUAGAUGACGGCGUAAAGAGUGGUUAAUUUAAUAGUUAAUAAAGUCAAAUACUCCCAAAGCUGUUAUACGCACUCGAGAGUUAGAAGAUCAAAAACGAAAGUGACUUUAAUCCAAAUGAACCCACGAAAGCUAUGAAACAAACUGGGAUUAGAUACCCCACUAUGCAUAGCCGUAAACCUUGAUGAACAUUUACUUAGUCAUCCGCCUGGGUACUACGAGCACUAGCUUAAAACCCAAAGGACUUGGCGGUGCUUUAAACCCACCUAAAGGAGCCUGUUCUAGAACCGAUAACCCCCGUUAACCUCACCCUCUCUUGUUCUUCCCGCCUAUAUACCGCCGUCGUCAGCUUACCCUGUGAAGGCUUAGUAGUAAGCAGAGUCAGUUAUACUCAAAACGUCAGGUCGAGGUGUAGCAUAUGAGAGGGGAAGAAAUGGGCUACAUUCCUUAAUUUAAGGCAUUACGGAUAAUAUGAUGAAAAGAAUAUUAGAAGGAGGAUUUAGCAGUAAGCAGAAAACAGAGAGUCCUGCUGAAACUGGCCCUAAAGCGCGCACACACCGCCCGUCACUCUCCCCGACCCAUUUUAAAAAUUAAAUAAAAGAUUUCAGGAACUAAGGGGAGGCAAGUCGUAACAUGGUAAGUGUCCCGGAAGGUGCACUUGGAAAAU